UCCAAAGCUGCUUUUUCUGAUUUAUUUCAUGUGCGUUGCAUGAACUCGAGAGAACUGCCAGGAUGUCGCGUCAACUUCUCCAACGGUGCUCGAAAAAGCACCUUGUGAUCCACAUGGACAUCAACAAGACCAUUAUUCAGGUCGACCAGGCCGGUGGCCGCACCAUGGAUGAUGUUCUGAAUAGUAAUGUUGCUGCAAAUACGUUUGGGCUUGUCGACCCAACUGACAACGAAUGGCGGCCUCUCUACUGCACUCCUGAUGCGCCAGUCGUGCCACCAGAUGCCCACAGUGGCCCUAUCAUGUCGUAUGAAGCAUACAUCGACAGCCUGCAUUGCGCUCCUCCGGGGAUGCAGGAGCUGCCAAAGGCAGAGCGCGAUGCCGUAUGGAAGUCCGUGUCCGACCUCCGGCGACAGGCUACGAGGAAGUUCACUUUUCCCGGGGAAGUUGGCGAGUCAUAUGCACCGCUAGUCGACCUGCAGCGUCAGCACUUGAGGCAAAGUGACGGGUACUACAUUAUCCCUGCAUUUUUUCACAUGGUCAACACACUCUCAGAGCUGAAUUUGCGGUUCACGCUCAUUUUCAGAACCUUUGGUAGCGAUUUGAACACUGUUCUGCAAGAGUGGAGAUCGUUUGUCCUUGGAACGCAUGCGUGCAAGCCGUCUGGCCCAGUUUUGAAGGAGCUAAAAGAGAACUAUAUUGAGCCACUCUCAGGGAGCUUUUUCCGGCAGGCUGAUGACGUAUACAUUUGCUACGGGCCUCGCGUAUCACUCUCUUCAUACCUCAAGUCGGGCUUUGAGGAGGUAGAUCCUGCCAAGGUACUGGAGCAUCUGUAUCAAGUGCCUGGGUGCACGUCGGCUUACAAGACAUCCUUUGCAGAUCUCAAGGAUCAUUUGGUAGAGUACUUUGCCCGCUCUAAGAACAUAGGUGGGCUUGUGGACUACUACCCCAGCUGGGCACAGGCAGCGGAACACCGCACUGGCGGAAAGGUGUUCCCGAUUUCUCAGAACGACCCCAGCUACUACUUCGUCUUCUUCGACGACAACAUUUUUAUUGGGGAUGAGCACUCUAUUGUGGAUGUCCGCGAGGCAGACGGCGCAAAAAGCAUUGUUGAUGUGGAGGUAGAGAGGAAGUACUGCGUUCCCGUAAAUGCAUUCAAAGCCAUUGUGGACAAGGAGUACUUCGUCAACGAGCUGUGCGCGUGCUUGAGGUUGCAGGACAGCGAAUUGUGACUGGUGAUGUGUAACUGUCUCAACCGCAGCUUACAAUAAUACACAUCUGAC
rnacentral:misc_RNA from 1 species